rnacentral:rRNA from 1 species
UACAGAGACUGCAAGCGUUGUUCGGAGUUACUGGGCGUAAAGGGUGUGUAGGCGGUUCUUUAAGUUUGGUGUGAAAUCUCCCGGCUCAACCGGGAGGGUGCGCCGAAUACUGAGGGACUUGGAGUGCGGGAGAGGAAAGUGGAAUUCCUGGUGUAGCGGUGAAAUGCGUAGAUAUCAGGAGGAACACCGGUGGUGUAGACGGCUUUCUGGACCGUAACUGACGCUGAGACACGAAAGCGUGGGUAGCAAACAGG